rfam:Camelus ferus unplaced genomic scaffold scaffold244, whole genome shotgun sequence.
GAGGGUAUAGCUCAGUGGUGGAGUGUGCGCUUACCAUCCACAAGGUCCUAGGUUCAAUCUCCAGUACCUCCA